CGCGAACGGGUGAGUAACGCGUGGGUAACCUGCCUCAUAGCGGGGGACAACAGUUGGAAACGACUGCUAAUACCGCAUAACAAUGGCGAUCACAUGAUAGCUAUUUGAAAGUACCAAUUGGUACACUAUGAGAUGGACCCGCGUUGUAUUAGCUAGUUGGUAAGGUAACGGCUUACCAAGGCGACGAUACAUAGCCGACCUGAGAGGGUGAUCGGCCACAUUGGGACUGAGACACGGCCCAA
rnacentral:rRNA from 1 species